CACUUGCUCUUGUCAAUUACCCAGCUAAAUUAAUUUGCCAAAGACAUUUAAGUGUAUUCAAGUACAAAUUAUAUAAAAAACCACGAAUCGAUGGUAUCUAAUGCGGGAUGAAAGGUCAUACAAUAGAAGUUUCCAUCAUAGAGACAUAGGAUCUGCAUCUAAUGUCUGACAAAAUUCGGCAUAGCCUGAACAAAUUCUACAAAAAUGAAUCAAAAAAUAGAGGGCGUAGUGCACACAUAGAUAGCAUAAUUAAAAUUACUGACACUAUUUCAAGAAAACUAACCAAUAUAGCAACUUUAGAGGAUUGCGCCACACAUGAUUUUACAUUUACAAAUAAAAAUGCAGACGUCUACUCCAAAGCAUUAAAAUGCCAUGAAGAGAAGUUACAAGAAUACUACUUAAGGUGGUGGGAAAAAGUAGAAAGGGGGGUAUUAUCGGUCGGCCAUGUUUGAGGUAUACAAAAGAUUGUUAUUUCAAACUACUAUGUGAGUCAUAGGUAUUGUCGUCAUGUUUAAUUAACUUGGGCGUUGAGAGUAAUUAUAAUAGAUAAAUACUGUUGUUAAUACUACACAGAAAUUUUGUCAUUUUGGAGGAAUUGUAAAUUCGUCAUGUUUGAGGUAUUUACAUAAGAAGAAUGGAAUACCCAGUUAUUUACUAUAAAUAACAUUCAACACUAGAGACAUCUGGAGAUUGAAAUGUGCAUUUAUGAAACAUUUAAGCGUUGGCCUAUCUAGGACCAAAGAUUCGUUGCUAGAACUGUUAAUUGUUCAAUUGUUGACUUUCAUUUUUAUUGAAUUUCAUGAAAAACCAAAUGUAAUAAUUUGACUACCAAAAUGGGUAUUGUAAUGACAGCAAGAUGAAUGUGGCGCUGGCUGUGAUCGAUUCCUUAAUAUAGUGACUAUAUAGAAACUGUUUUCCAUAUGCUCAUAUCCGCCAUUUUUUUUCCAAAUUUAUCACUGAGCUUAUGGGGGAAUCACAUAUGUAUUUUGAGUGUUUAUAGACUAAUUAUAUGGUGCGAUUUACGCAAAUUUUGCACUGAAGUUUCCUUGUAGAGAAUUUUAUUACCUUCAAUGCGCAUGUAAUAGCCAUUUGAUUAAAUACCUACGGAGAAAACCUUAAAAUCAAUCCAACAUUAUUUUGUGUACCUACAUAAAUCAGGUACCUACGUUUGAAACAGUUGCUUACACAUGACACAACCUAAUUUCAAUUAGUAUUGGUUUGCGUACGUAUCCCAGAUGUUCUAUGGUACGUAUACCAAACCCAUAAAAGGCACGAAAUGUAAUUAUACCCAUUAGAAUUUGGAAUUGUUCAGGCGUAAGUAUACUGGAAAUAAAAAACAAAGACCU